rnacentral:rRNA from 1 species
UCCUACGGGAGGCAGCAGUGAGGAAUAUUGGUCAAUGGACGAGAGUCUGAACCAGCCAAGUAGCGUGAAGGAUGACUGCCCUAUGGGUUGUAAACUUCUUUUAUAUGGGAAUAAAAUGUUCCACGUGUGGGAUUUUGUAUGUACCAUAUGAAUAAGGAUCGGCUAACUCCGUGCCAGCAGCCGCGGUAAUA